rnacentral:rRNA from 1 species
UACGUAGGGGGCGAGCGUUGUCCGGAAUCAUUGGGCGUAAAGAGCGUGUAGGCGGACUGGAAGGUCUGGUGUGAAAGCCCGGGGCUCAACCCCGGAGGGUCACCGGAAACCGACAGUCUUGAAUCUGGAAGAGGAGAGUGGAAUUCCUGGUGUAGCGGUGGAAUGCGCAGAUAUCAGGAGGAACACCAAUAGCGAAGGCAGCU